AAUUGUGGGAUGGUGGGGGCAAGCCUGAUCCAGCAAUGCCGCGUGCAGGAAGAAGGCCUUCGGGUUGUAAACUGCUUUUGUACGGAACGAAACGGUCUGGGUUAAUACCCUGGGCUAAUGACGGUACCGUAAGAAUAAGCACCGGCUAACUACGUGCCAGCAGCCGCGGUAAUACGUAGGGUGCAAGCGUUAAUCGGAAUUACUGGGCGUAAAGCGUGCGCAGGCGGUUUUGUAAGACAGGCGUGAAAUCCCCGGGCUCAACCUGGGAAUUGCGCUUGUGACUGCAAGGCUGGAGUGCGGCAGAGGGGGAUGGAAUUCCGCGUGUAGCAGUGAAAUGCGUAGAUAUGCGGAGGAACACCGAUGGCGAAGGCAAUCCCCUGGGCCUGCACUGACGCUCAUGCACGAAAGCGUGGGGAGCAAACAGGAUUAGAUACCCUGGUAGUCCACGCCCUAAACGAUGUCAACUGGUUGUUGGGAAUUUACUUUCUCAGUAACGAAGCUAACGCGUGAAGUUGACCGCCUGGGGAGUACUGCCGCAAGGUUUGAAACUCAAAGGAAUUGAAGGGGA
rnacentral:rRNA from 1 species